rnacentral:tRNA from 1 species
GAGGGUAUAGCAGAAUGGUAGCGCACAUUCUUAGCAUGCAUGAGGUCCUAGGUUCAAUUCCUAGUACCUCCA